rnacentral:rRNA from 1 species
GACGAACGCUGGCGGCGUGCUUAACACAUGCAAGUCGAACGGUAAGGCCCUUUCGGGGGUACACGAGUGGCGAACGGGUGAGUAACACGUGGGUGAUCUGCCCUGCACUUUGGGAUAAGCUUGGGAAACUGGGUCUAAUACCGAAUAGGACUACGCUCCGCAUGGGGUGUGGCGGAAAGCUUUUGCGGUGUUGGAUGGGGCCGCGGCCUAUGAGCGUGUUGGUCGGGUGGUGGCCUACCUAGGCGACGACGGGGAGCCGACCUGAGAGGGUGUCCGGCGACACGGAGACAGAGUUACAGCCCAGACGCCGACAGGAGGCAGGAGUGGGGAAGAUUGCACAAUGGGCACAAGCCUUAUGCAGGGACGCCGCGUGGGAGAUGACGGCAUUCGGGUUGUAAACCUCUUUCAGCACAGGCGAAGCGCAAGUGACGGUAUGUGCAGAAGAAGGACCGGCCAACUACGUGCCAGCCGCCGCCGUAA